rnacentral:rRNA from 1 species
AUUAGAGUUUGAUCAUGGCUCAGAUUGAACGCUGGCGGCAUGCCUUACACAUGCAAGUCGAACGGCAGCACGGAGCUUGCUCUGGUGGCGAGUGGCGAACGGGUGAGUAAUAUAUCGGAACGUACCCUAGAGUGGGGGAUAACGUAGCGAAAUUACGCUAAUACCGCAUACGAUCUAAGGAUGAAAGUGGGGGAUCGCAAGACCUCAUGGCUCGUGGAGCGGCCGAUAUCUGAUUAGCUAGUUGGUAGGGUAAAAGCCUACCAAGGCAUCGAUCAGUAGCUGGUCUGAGAGGACGACCAGCCACACUGGAACUGAGACACGGUCCAGACUCCUACGGGAGGCAGCAGUGGGGAAUUUUGGACAAUGGGCGAAAGCCUGAUCCAGCAAUGCCGCGUGAGUGAAGAAGGCCUUCGGGUUGUAAAGCUCUUUUGUCAGGGAAGAAACGGUGAGAGCUAAUAUCUCUU